rnacentral:rRNA from 1 species
UUACCGAGUGCGGGCCCCUCGGGGCCCAACCUCCCACCCGUGUUGCCCGAACCUAUGUUGCCUCGGCGGGCCCCGCGCCCGCCGACGGCCCCCCUGAACGCUGUCUGAAGUUGCAGUCUGAGACCUAUAACGAAAUUAGUUAAAACUUUCAACAACGGAUCUCUUGGUUCCGGCAUCGAUGAAGAACGCAGCGAAAUGCGAUAACUAAUGUGAAUUGCAGAAUUCAGUGAAUCAUCGAGUCUUUGAACGCACAUUGCGCCCUCUGGUAUUCCGGAGGGCAUGCCUGUCCGAGCGUCAUUGCUGCCCUCAAGCCCGGCUUGUGUGUUGGGCCCCGUCCCCCCCGCCGGGGGGACGGGCCCGAAAGGCAGCGGCGGCACCGCGUCCGGUCCUCGAGCGUAUGGGGCUUCGUCACCCGCUCUAGUAGGCCCGGCCGGCGCCAGCCGACCCCCAACCUUUAAUUAUCUCAGGUUGACCUCGGAUCAGGUAGGGAUACCCGCUGAACUUAAGCAUAUCAAUAAGCGGAGGAAAAG